rnacentral:lncRNA from 1 species
UUUAACCUUAGCCAAUUCUUUUUCUGCUAUCCCAUUCUUCUUGACCAACUCAUCAUAAUCAGCUAUUCGAUUCCUUAACUCAGCCUGUACCCCCGUUGUUAUCUCUUCAGCUACCUCGGCCCUUUUCUGCCAUUCCUUUAGAGACAUUAGCUGCUUCUCUUGUUUUUCUAACCGCUGAUUCAAGAAAACCCUCAUCGUAUUUUCCUCCUCUAGCUGGUUCUCUAACAAUUGUUGUCGCCCUUUACUUUUGCUGAGUUCUAUUACAC